UACAGAGGGGGCAAGCGUUGUUCGGAAUUACUGGGCGUAAAGGGCGCGUAGGCGGCCUUCUAAGUCAUGCGUGUAAUCCCCGGGCUCAACCCGGGAACUGCGUCCGAGACUGGAAGGCUUGAAUCCGGGAGAGGGAUGUGGAAUUCCAGGUGUAGCGGUGAAAUGCGUAGAUAUCUGGAGGAACAUCGGUGGCGAAGGCGGCAUCCUGGACCGGUAUUGACGCUGAGGCGCGAAAGCGUGGGGAGCAAACAGG
rnacentral:rRNA from 1 species